UACGUAGGGUGCAAGCGUUGUCCGGAAUUAUUGGGCGUAAAGAGCUCGUAGGCGGUCUGUCACGUCGGCUGUGAAAACCCGAGGCUCAACCUCGGGCCUGCAGUCGAUACGGGCAAACUAGAGUACUGCAGGGGAGACUGGAAUUCCUGGUGUAGCGGUGAAAUGCGCAGAUAUCAGGAGGAACACCGGUGGCGAAGGCGGAUCUCUGGGCCGUUACUGACGCUGAGGAGCGAAAGCGUGGGGAGCGAACAGG
rnacentral:rRNA from 1 species